rnacentral:rRNA from 1 species
CGCGGCCUAUCAGCUUGUUGGUGGGGUAAAGGCCUACCAAGGCGACGACGGGUAGCCGGCCUGAGAGGGCGACCGGUCACACUGGGACUGAGACACGGCCCAGACUCCUACGGGAGGCAGCAGUAGGGAAUAUUGCGCAAUGGACGAAAGUCUGACGCAGCAACGCCGCGUGAGGGAUGAAGUACAUCGAGAUAUAAACCUCUUUCAGCAGGGACGAAGCUAACGUGACGGUACCUGCAGAAGAAGCACCGGCUAACUACGUGCCAGCAGCCGCGGUAAUACGUAGGGUGCAAGCGUUGUCCGGAUUUAUUGGGCGUAAAGGGCUCGUAGGCGGUCUGUCGCGUCGGAUGUGAAAACUCGGAGCUUAACUCCGGGCCUGCAUUCGAUACGGGCAGACUAGAGUUCGGUAGGGGAGACUGGAAUUCCUGGUGUAGCGGUGGAAUGCGCAGAUAUCAGGAGGAACACCGAUGGCGAAGGCAGGUCUCUGGGCUGUAACUGACGCUGAGGAGCGAAAGCAUGGGGAGCGAACAGGAUUAGAUACCCUGGUAGUCCAUGCCGUAAACGUUGGGCACUAGGUGUGGGGAACAUUCCACGUUUUCCGCGCCGCAGCUAACGCAUUAAGUGCCCCGCCUGGGGAGUACGG